rnacentral:rRNA from 1 species
UACAGAGACUGCAAGCGUUAUUCGGAUUCACUGGGCGUAAAGGGUGCGCAGGCGGCCAAGUGUGUGAGGCGUGAAAGCCUGGAGCUUAACUCCAGAAUUGCACCCUACAAACUUACUUGGACUAGUAGGCAGUUGGAGAGGGUAGCAAGAAUUCAUGGUGUAGCAGUGAAAUGCGUAGAUAUCAUGAGGAAUACCAGAGGCGAAGGCGGCUACCUGGACAAUUGCUGACGCUCAGGCACGAAAGCGUGGGGAGCAAAAGGG